rnacentral:lncRNA from 1 species
ACGGAAGUGGGAGGCUCGGUUUCCGGCUGAAUUGGGGAUCCGGAGGCGUAUCUCGGGUGGCGGGUACAUCCUGUUUCGGGGUUGGAGAAACGCUGUGUCCGCCGCUGAACGCCAGGAAUCCUUGCACAGAUGAAUAGCUUCUUCCAAAUGAGCAGCUUGAACGCCUGGCGCUAGUAGUGAGCAGAAUGGCGCGGCACCUUUUGUUCCCAAAUUAUCGGGAGCUUCGGGUGCUGAGUUUGAGGGACCACGGACCCGGGCACCAAGAAAAGCAAAGAACCAAUGUGGCUGCUGAUGAGCUGCAGCCCUGUGCCCUGGGCGGCUGUCACUCUUUGUGGGCUCAAGUCUGUCCCAGAGAACCGGCUCCUAGGCAAUGGCUCCCAAGCCCUUUUUCCUUACUUUACUUUCAGUCCCACUCCUUGAGUUCCUCUUUGCCGACCAUCUCAGAAAUGCUUACUGUGAACUUAACCUUGGCGCAACCUAAAGCAAGCCCGUUUUUUUGUUCGUUUUGUUUUGUUUUUCCCCAUCUCGCAGUGUUGGGAACUCAGUAUUUUGACUCUCUGGUUCUCUCAUCUCUCCAGCCUUUCAAACCCAUCAUUCAUUUUCCAUGGCCACUGCACUGCAGACAGAGGUGUCCUCCUGUCUCAGUCUCCAGAGUGGCUAGGAUUACAGGCAUGCACUCUGCGUCUGGCUGGUCUGUGUUGAUAACGAAUUCCUCAGGUUAUUCUGAUGCUCAUUAGAGUGAGAACCACUGCUUUGAUUGGUGACCUGCUCUCUUUAUUGAGGCAGAAACCCCUAAACAUUUAUUCUCUGCAAAGCCCUUAGAGGAGUGGCUUUUGAGAAUUUUGGAGCAGAGGAGGGUCUGGAAGACAUCAGUUAGCCCAAGCAUCCUGAGAAGAAGACAGGUCCCACACCAUCCGCAUGCCUUCCUUGGAUCUCAGCGAGCUCAAGUUUCAGCUUCCCUUUAUUCACUCCCCCCAACCACUACUCCCGGUUUGGUACCCAGGAUUGACCCCAGGGGCACUUAACCACUGAGCCACAUCCCCAGCCCUUUUAAAUUUUUUUUUUUUUUUUUUUUUUUUGAGACAGGGUCACAGUAAAUUGCUUAUGGUCUUCCUAAUUGCUGAGGCUGGCCUUGAACUUGAAAUCUUCCUGCUUCAGCCUCCCUAGUUACUGGGAUUACAGGUGUGCACCACCAUGCCUGGCAACUUUUAUUUGCUUUUAUAACACUGGCCUUCCCUAGGAAUACUAAUAUCCUUUCUGCAGAUUCAUAAUCAUUUGUGUUUUUAUUUUGUUUCUUCCUUGUUAUGGUUUAAGUAUGAGGUGUCCCCCCAAAGUUCCUGUGUUAAUGCAGAAAGAAAAAUGAUUGGAUUAUGAGAUAUAUAACCUUACAGUGAAUUAAUCCAUUUGAUGGAGUAACAAUUUGAAUGGGUUCCUGGUGUUAACUGCAGGCAGGUGGGAUGUGGCUGGAGGUGGUGGAUCACUAAGGGGGUAUGAUGGGGAUUAUAUAUUAUUUUUCCCUGGCUUCUUGUGAUCAUUGUUAGAACUCAACGGGAAAAAAAAAGGCCACUGACUCCAAUUAAAAUCAAAUUAAAGCAAGCUUAUUAUUUUGACUGGCGGGCUGCCUCUCCCAACAUAAACCACGGGAACAAGACAGCACCGCAGUUUUCUUGCAGCCCAGCUUUAUAGCCCAGAAAGUUACACAAGGGGGGAGGGUGUUACAGAUAACAAAACUCUGACAAGCAUAACACAAAGGCUAGUUUAUAUUUUUGCUGGCCUGACAUCAGAACUUAUGAAAGUCAUUAGAGCCUCAGAGAGAGUUGUUAUCUGGUCAGGGAAAGCCAUGCAUGGGUGAGUUCCAGGCACAGGCAGGCAGGCAUUCCAAGCAAGUUCAGAAUUUGCAGUAAUUUAUAGUAAAGCCGAAAUUAGCUUUUAUGUCUUUGUAGCGAGACGGUUCCCAAUUUUAAGAGGGAAUCAGACUGGGUUUAUCAAUCACCAUUUCCUGUCAUGGACUGAGCAGCUUUUCCUCCACACCUUCCACCAUGAUGUUCUGCCUAACUCAGGCUCAGAGCAAUGGAGUCAGCUGACCAUGGACUGAACCUCUGAAACUGGGAGCCAACAUAAACUCUUCUUCCUCAAAAUUGUUCUUGUUAGGUAUUUUGGUCACAGUGAUGAAAAGCUAAUACCUGUUCUCCAAAAAUCAUCAUGGUAAGCCACAUAUGUUUUUGUUUACCACUUUAUCUUUGUGUGUGUGUGUAUGUGUGUGUGUGUGUGAGAGAGAGAGAGAGAGAGAGAGAG